GACGAACGCUGGCGGCGUGCUUAACACAUGCAAGUCGAACGAUGAAGCACCAGCUUGCUGGUGUGGAUUAGUGGCGAACGGGUGAGUAACACGUGAGUAACCUGCCCCUCACUCUGGGAUAAGCCUGGGAAACUGGGUCUAAUACUGGAUACGACCGAUCUCCGCAUGGAGUGUUGGUGGAAAGUUCUUGUGGUGGGGGAUGGACUCGCGGCCUAUCAGCUUGUUGGUGGGGUAGUGGCCUACCAAGGCGACGACGGGUAGCCGGCCUGAGAGGGCGACCGGCCACACUGGGACUGAGACACGGCCCAGACUCCUACGGGAGGCAGCAGUGGGGAAUAUUGCACAAUGGGCGGAAGCCUGAUGCAGCGACGCCGCGUGAGGGAUGACGGCCUUCGGGUUGUAAACCUCUUUCACCAGGGACGAAGCUAACGUGACGGUACCUGGAGAAGAAGCACCGGCUAACUACGUG
rnacentral:rRNA from 1 species